rnacentral:misc_RNA from 1 species
GGCAGACCAUACGGGAGAGAAACUUGCC